rnacentral:lncRNA from 1 species
AUAUGGUAAUAAUAAUGUGUACAGUAUAUAGUAUAUUGUAAUAAUAAUGUGUAUAGUAUGUAGUAUAUAACAUAAUAUGUAUAAUAAUAUAGAGGAAAAACUUCAAAUACCAUUUCUAUGGUUUCACAUUUUCUCACUUUAGCACCCUGUGGUUUAAAGUGUAUCAAUUUAGAGCCCUGUAAUUUUAUUUUUAUUUUUUUAUUAUCGAUUCCACUAAUUUUUUUCGUUAAAUCAGUGACAAAGUUAAAACUAAAGGGUACUAAAGUGAAUAUUCGAUAAACUUAGGUAGGGUAUCUGNACAAAGUUAAAACUAAAGGGUACUAAAGUGAAUAUUCGAUAAACUUAGGUAGGGUAUCUGAAGUUUUUUAUAUAUAAUUUAACAAAAUAUUAACGAAAAAGCUGACAAAAAUAUAAAAAUGAAAUCACAAGACACUAACUUAAUAAAUUUUAAACCACAUGGCACUAAAAUGAGAAAGUGGGAAACCACAGGAGUGGUAUUUGAAGUUUAUCCUAAUAUAUAUUAUAAUUUUGCAAGGAUUUGAUUUCCAAAUAUAAAUAAUAAUAAUAAUAAUAAUAAUAAUAUAUAGUAUUCUUACUAUUAUAUAUAAAUAACAUAUAAUAUAUAUAAUGGAAGAAAAUAAGUGUAGGGCUACUGCUACUAUACUAUCGAAAGUAUAGAGAAUUUGGUGUUUUCAACUUUUUUGUCAUUGGAUCAAGAAUUGUACAGUUGAAAUGAUUGAGAUACCCUCUAAGGUUGAGUAGUCUUCGUAGAAUAAUAAUAUUAAUCCAAAAGUUAAAAAUAAUCAGAGGUUGAUCGAAGGGUCAAAAAGUCAGAAGCACUAUAUCCUUUAUACUUUCGAUAAUACAAUAUGAAGCACUAGAUUCUUUAUACUUCUGAUAGUAUAGUAGCUCCACUCAAAAAAUAAUAUAAAUGAUUUUUUCUUCAUUUUUCUUUUUCAAUCAAACAAGAAUGAGUAAAAAACUUUUUUUUUUCCUAUAAACCAAACACUGAAAAAAAUAAAAUUUUUUCCCAUAAAAAAUCUCGCUCUAAUUUUACAGAGAAAC